AUUGAACGCUGGCGGCAUGCCUUACACAUGCAAGUCGAACGGCAGCACGGGAGCAAUCCUGGUGGCGAGUGGCGAACGGGUGAGUAAUGUAUCGGAACGUGCCUUGUCGUGGGGGAGUAACGUAGCGAAAGACUACGCUAAUACCGCAUACCAUCUAAGGAUGAAAGACGGGGGAGUCGCAAGACCUCGCGCGACAAGAGUGGCCGAUAUCAGAUUAGGUUGUUGGUGGGGUAAAGGCCUACCAAGCCGACGAUCUGUAGCUGGUCUGAGAGGACGACCAGCCACACUGGGACUGAGACACGGCCCAGACUCCUACGGGAGGGCAGCAGUGGGGAAUUUUGGACAAUGGGCGAAAGCCUGAUCCAGCAAUGCCGCGUGCAGGAUGAAGGCCUUCGGGUUGGUAAACUGCUUUGUUACAGAACGAAACAAGUCUCUCCUAAUACGGGGGGCGGAA
rnacentral:rRNA from 1 species